rnacentral:ncRNA from 1 species
UAUAUUUGCGCCGCUGAUAUCAGCAUACUUAAUAAUCAUUUAAAUAAUAUUGGAAUG